UUUAAAAGCAGAAAAGAUGAGCACUAGCCUCAGAAUGUCAGGACGUUACAGCUCUUUUGCUAUGGAAAACCUCAGCAGAAAGAAGGCACACACUGGGGAGUGUCAAUCUUUCUUCCUUUGGCUCUGUCACAGUCCCAUUUCUCCCCCUUGGAAGGGAAUCCAGCUUCCCAUUUAGAACUUUCACAGGACUUCUCUAUGCCCAGACUGAGGAGGAACUUCAGACCAGGAACAGCCAGCCAGCCACAGAGCAAAAUGAAACUUCUUCUAAGACAAAGAUAAUAAAAUAUGUUUGAGCAACAUGAAACGAUAGUCUGAAGACUGCCGAUGCAAGGAAAUUCAGGGUUAAUGCUGCGUUACUUCAUUUUGAAGUCAACCCCAUUGUGUCUGUUUAUUGCAGGGG